GGAACUCUACGACAGGUGCUGCAUGGCUGUCGUCAGCUCGUGUUGUGAAAUGUUGGGUUAAGUCCCGCAACGAGCGCAACCCUUAUCCUUAUUUGCCAGCACGUAAUGGUGGGAACUCUAGGGAGACUGCCGGUGAUAAACCGGAGGAAGGUGGGGACGACGUCAAGUCAUCAUGGCCCUUACGAGUAGGGCUACACACGUGCUACAAUGGUAUGUACAGAGGGAGGCAAACUGGCGACGGGGAGCGAAUCUCUUAAAGCGUAUCGUAGUCCGGAUCGCAGUCUGCAACUCGACUGCGUGAAGUCGGAAUCGCUAGUAAUCGCGAAUCAGAAUGUUGCGGUGAAUACGUUCCCGGGUCUUGUACACAC
rnacentral:rRNA from 1 species